GAUGAACGCUGGCGGCGUGCUUAACACAUGCAAGUCGAACGGAAAGGCCCAAGCUUGCUUGGGUACUCGAGUGGCGAACGGGUGAGUAACACGUGGGUGAUCUGCCCUGCACUUUGGGAUAAGCCUGGGAAACUGGGUCUAAUACCGGAUAGGACAACUCCUUGGGUGUUGUGGUGGAAAGUUUUUUCGGUGUCGGGUGAGAUGGCGGCCUAUUAGGUUGUUGGGGGGGUAAUGGCCUACCCAGGCGUCGACGGGUAGCCGGCCUGUGAGGGUGUACGGCCACAUUGGGACUGAGAUACGGCCCAGACUCCUACGGGAGGCAGCAGUGGGGAAGAUUGCACAAUGGGCGCAAGCCUGAUGCAGCGACGCCGCGUGGGGGAUGACGGCCUUCGGGUUGUAAACUCCUUUCGCUAGGGACGAAGCGUUUUGUGACGGUACCUGGAGAAGAAGCACCGGCUAACUACGUG
rnacentral:rRNA from 1 species